rnacentral:rRNA from 1 species
GAGUGAAGAGGGAAGAGCUCAUCAUUGGAAUCUGGCAGCGUUGCGCUGUCCGAGUUGUAGAUGAGAAGAGUAGGCCAUCUGGACUGCGUGGUGUCCAAGUACAAUAGGCCGUCAGUGGGACAUCAUAGAGGGUGACAAUCCCGUCCUUGACACCAACGUACGAGUCCAUUACGAUGCCUAUCUCAGAGAGUCGAGCAGUUUGGGAUUUGCUGCUUAAACAUGGGAGGUAGAUUCCUUCUAAAGCUAAAUACAGGCAAGAGACCGAUAGAGAACAAGUACCGCAAGGGAAAGAUGAAAUAGAACUCUGUGAAGGGAGUCAAAAAGACGUGAAAUUGUUGCGAGAGAAGCGAUUCAAGUCAGCGUAGCUAGGCCCAUCAAGCCUUGCUUUGGACUAGCUUUGCCAGCGGUCUUGUCCUUUAGAGAGACUUGACUUUUGACAUGCCCUGCCCGGUCUAACGGGCAGACCUCCCUCUGGGAGGCCAGUGGCAUGGCUGGUGGAAUGGCUUGCAAUCGACCCGUCUUGAAACACGGACCAAGGAGUCUAACAUGUGUGCGAGUAUAAGGGUGGCAAACCCGUAUGCGCAAAGAAAGUGAUAGCCUUUAUGGCUGAGAAUGGCCUGAUGACCAGACAAGCAAUAUUAUGUUCCUCGUACGGUCAUUGCCCAAGUCCCGUGGUCAGAUCCCAUGGACAUGGAGUUAGAGCAUACAUGCUAGGACCCGAAAGAUGGUGAACUAUGCCUGGACAAAGCGAAGCCAAAGGAAACUCUGGUGGAGGCUUGUAGCGAUUCUGACGUGCAAAUCGAUCGUCUGAUCUGGGUAUAGGGGCGAAAGACUA